ACUUGCUAAAGGAGGGGUAGGUAGGGCAAGACGCUUUCUUGGAUCCUCUCUUGAGUGACUUUCCAAGGUGACAGACUCCCUUCUGUGCCAUGGAGAAGGAUGCUUGUUUCCUACUCAUUCCUACUACACUUGAUUGGUGCUGCCACGCCCUCGGCUCUGCAGGAUGCAGGAAAUGCUCAAAUCCCAGAAGCAGGAACGCUCAUGCUGGCAAACGCAGACUCGGUGUGGGCUUGGGCAACAGCCUGACGUAAGUGGAUCUGGCAAGGCCGCAAGAGCUUUGGCAGCCGAGCCCCUGGCGCAGAAGCAUCCUCAUCAACACAGUGUUGACGGCGCUCCCGGGCCUCUGGCUCAUCCCUGUUUCUUAGCAACUGCCCUAUUUUGGGGGAACACUGAGUGCCACAGGGAAGCUGGCCUGGAAGCACGUGCAAGACAGGCAGCACCUUCAGUCAACACGCAGCCCCCUGCUCCCAGCAGCCUGGUCCCCUGAUACCAGCUGCCAUCUCCCGGCACAAUGUGACCAGAUUGGAAGACCUCCAUGAGGCGGUUCAGCCACUCCACAGCUGCUGAGCCCCUCAGGAGGAAGGAGGUAUGUUUCCAAAGGGAUGGCUGGAUGGCUGAGGAAAAGGCAGAGGUGAAAGAAGAGGCCGUGUCAACUGGAGGUGGAUGUAUAAUUAAAAACCCUAGGCCAGGUGCUGUGGCUCAUGCCUGCAAUCCCAGCGCUUUGGGAGGCCGAGGCGAGCAGAUCACCUGAGGUCAGGAGUUCGAGACUAGUCUGGUGAAAUCCCAUCUCUACUAAAAAUACAAAACCUAGCUGGGAAUGGUGGGACGCACCUGUAAUCCCAGCUACUCGGGAGGCUGAGGCAGGAGAAUCACUUGAACCUGGGAGGCAGAGGUUGCAGUGAGCUGAGAUCGCGCCACUGCACUCCAGUCUGGCCAACAGGAGUGAAACUGUGUCUCCAAAAAAAAGCCUUAUUCAAGAAGUGGUGAAUGCUGUGAAUCCCAGCAGGAAUUCCUGCCCCUCAGGCUUGACCCAUAAGGUGCCUGGCAGUUGUCAGGGCCAGUGACAGAAAUGCUCUGGGCAUGGGCCCCGCUCUUCUCUACUCUAAGAUGAAGGGUCCAUCUGUCUGAUGUUAAGGAGUGAAAGACUUGUUAGCUUGUUAAUAAAUAAAAUCUCUGAAAAAGAUCCUUACUGUUACAUCAGGUUAUAAAACUACCUUCUGGAAGACUCAGUUUAAACCUAAGGAAAAAAAAACUUAUCCAAAAAUUCACACCAUCAGAACUACAGUAACAAACCUAUCUCCUAGGGCUUAAAACAAGACCAAGGGAAAAAGCUGUUUGACAGAGAGGAAGUGUAAAAUGCCCAGGCCUCAGUUAAAUGUCCUGUUUAGGCCUCUACGGACUCUGGUUUCUGCCCCUCACGGGCUCAGCCACAGGCACCUCCCAUGACCUGUGUGUUUCUCAAAUCAACAGGGGCCUUUCAUCCAUACCCGGGUUGCAAAACAUGCCGCUCCCUGGAUGGGGCAUCACUCCUUUCUUGGAAUUAUAAUUGGGUUUGCCCCGCAGCCUCUACAAAAGCUUAACUGGGGAAAGCAGUUCCCUGGUGGAGCUCGGAUGCGGAACCCUGGCCCUCCAGACUUUCCCCACACCUGCGUCACGUGCACUCCGCACAACUGUAGAUGCAGGAAGGAGCCUCUGAGCACAGUGAUCAGAGCCUCCGAUCCCAGCACUGCCAAUCCGGGAUUGGCGCCCCCAGGGUCGCCUUUUCUUCCCAUUUAAGUCAUCUAUUAAAAUCAUGUGCACUUCGAGACCAGGGAGCUGCUCAAUUCCCAGCAACUCUGAAUCCCUCCAAGGCAGGACUCCUCUUGGGUGGACCUGUCUCCACCCUGGGGACUUGGCUCAGCGAUGUGUCUUUGAUUCUAGUGUCACACCUGUCACGGAGUCUAGUGUUUAUACCUGCUGCAGAAUCUAGGUGCUGUGCCUGUCAUGGGGAGCAGUUUCCUUUUAGGAUUUGCUGAAUCGAACCAUCACUUAUAGAGGGAAACCAACACUCUCCUUUUAAGUAUAAUUUUAAAAAUCUAAACAAAAAGCCCAGCAGUGUCUGAAAUACAGUCAUGCAUCACUUAACGAUGAGGCUACGUUCUGAGAAAUGUGUCGCUGGGGAAUUUCGUUGUUGUGCGAGCAUCAUAGCAUGUACUUGCACAAACCUGGAGGGUCUAGCCUAUCACACACCAAGGCUAUGCUAUAUGCUCUCAGGCUACAAACCUGUACAGCACGUUACUGUACUGAAUACUGUAUGUAGGCAACUGCAAUAUAAUAGUAAGUAUGUAUGUAUCUCAACGUAUCUAAACGUACAAAAGGUACAGUAAAAAUAUGGAAUUAUAGUCUUAUGGGACCGCUGUUAUAUACGUGGCCCACUGUGGACCAGAACAUUAUGUGGUACAUGACUGUAUAUGGAGGUGUUACAGAGUGAAUUUUGUCCUUCCCCAAACUAUGCUGAUGUCCUAAUCCCCAAUACCUGUGACUAGGACCUUAUUUAGAAAGGGGUCUUUACAGACGUAACCAAGUUAAGAUGAGGUCAUAAUGCAUUAAGGUGGGCCCUAAUCCAAUGACCGGUAUCCUCAUAAGAAGAGGAAAAUCGGCCAGGCACGGUGGCUCACACCUGUAAUCCCAGCACUUUGGGAGGAUGAGGCAGGCAGAUCACAAGGUCAGGAGUUCAAAACCAGCCUGGCCAACAUAUUGAAACCCCAUCUCUACUAAAAACACAAAAAUUCGCCAGGUGUGGUGGCACAUGCCUGUAGUCCCAGCUACUCAGGAGGCUGAGGCAGGAGACUCCCUUGAAUCUGGGAGGCAGAGUUUGCAGUGAGCUGAGACCAUGCCAUUGCACUCCAGCCUGGGCGACAGAGC
ensembl:lncRNA novel transcript, antisense to ELK3